rnacentral:rRNA from 1 species
AGUGAACGCUGGCGGUAGGCCUAACACAUGCAAGUCGAACGGCAGCACAGUAAGAGCUUGCUCUUACGUGUGGCGAGUGGCGGACGGGUGAGGAAUACAUCGGAAUCUACUUUUUCGUGGGGGUUAACGUAGGGAAACUUACGCUAAUACCGCAUACGACCUACGGGUGAAAGCAGGGGAUCUUCGGACCUUGCGCGAUUGAAUGAGCCGAUGUCGGAUUAGCUAGUUGGCGGGGUAAAGGCCCACCAAGGCGACGAUCCGUAGCUGGUCUGAGAGGAUGAGCAGCCACACUGGAACUGUGACACGGUCCAGACUACUAUGGGAGGCGGCAGAGGGGAGUAUUAGACAAUGGGAGCAAGCCUGAUCCAGCCAUACCGCGUGGGUGAAGAGGGCAUUCGGGUUGUAAAGCCCUUUUGUUGGGAAAGAAAGGCAGCAGGUUAAUCCCCCGCUGUUCUGACGGUACCCAAAGAAUAAGCACCGGCUAACUUCGUG